rnacentral:rRNA from 1 species
UUCUUUGCUGACGAGUGGCGGACGGGUGAGUAAUGUCUGGGAAACUGCCUGAUGGAGGGGGAUAACUACUGGAAACGGUAGCUAAUACCGCAUAACGUCGCAAGACCAAAGAGGGGGACCUUCGGGCCUCUUGCCAUCGGAUGUGCCCAGAUGGGAUUAGCUAGUAGGUGGGGUAACGGCUCACCUAGGCGACGAUCCCUAGCUGGUCUGAGAGGAUGACCAGCCACACUGGAACUGAGACACGGUCCAGACUCCUACGGGAGGCAGCAGUGGGGAAUAUUGCACAAUGGGCGCAAGCCUGAUGCAGCCAUGCCGCGUGUAUGAAGAAGGCCUUCGGGUUGUAAAGUACUUUCAGCGGGGAGGAAGGGAGUAAAGUUAAUACCUUUGCUCAUUGACGUUACCCGCAGAAGAAGCACCGGCUAACUCCGUGCCAGCAGCCGCGGUAAUACGGAGGGUGCAAGCGUUAAUCGGAAUUACUGGGCGUAAAGCGCACGCAGGCGGUUUGUUAAGUCAGAUGUGAAAUCCCCCCGG